rnacentral:rRNA from 1 species
GAGUUUGAUCCUGGCUCAGAUUGAACGCUGGCGGCAGGCCUAACACAUGCAAGUCGAGCGGCAGCGGGAAAGUAGCUUGCUACUUUUGCCGGCGAGCGGCGGACGGGUGAGUAAUGCCUGGGAAAUUGCCCAGUCGAGGGGGAUAACAGUUGGAAACGACUGCUAAUACCGCAUACGCCCUACGGGGGAAAGCAGGGGACCUUCGGGCCUUGCGCGAUUGGAUAUGCCCAGGUGGGAUUAGCUAGUUGGUGAGGUAAUGGCUCACCAAGGCGACGAUCCCUAGCUGGUCUGAGAGGAUGAUCAGCCACACUGGAACUGAGACACGGUCCAGACUCCUACGGGAGGCAGCAGUGGGGAAUAUUGCACAAUGGGGGAAACCCUGAUGCAGCCAUGCCGCGUG